rnacentral:lncRNA from 1 species
UUCAUUGAGGCGGAGAGGAUUCGAUGCCUGAUGGUAGGCUUUUGCAUGUUGGGCCUCUAAGUAAUUGGGCCUAAGAAAUUGGGCCUUAGGUCUUUGACUGGUCCAGAACAUAAGCCCUGAUUGAUGACGAGCAUAAUCGAUGAUAUCGAGACGCUUGGUCAGGACGAUGGAGCACAUGGGACUGUCGUGUUUAGACAAUGAUGCACCUGUGUCGAUGAUGACAUCGGUGAUGA